rnacentral:rRNA from 1 species
GUGGGGAAUCUUAGACAAUGGGGGAAACCCUGAUCUAGCCAUGCCGCGUGAGCGAUGAAGGCCUUAGGGUUGUAAAGCUCUUUCAGCUGGGAAGAUAAUGACUGUACCAGCAGAAGAAGCCCCGGCUAACUCCGUGCCAGCAGCCGCGGUAAUACGGAGGGGGCUAGCGUUGUUCGGAAUUACUGGGCGUAAAGCGCACGUAGGCGGACCGGAAAGUCAGAGGUGAAAUCCCAGGGCUCAACCUUGGAACUGCCUUUGAAACUCCUGGUCUUGAGGUCGAGAGAGGUGAGUGGAAUUCCGAGUGUAGAGGUGAAAUUCGUAGAUAUUCGGAGGAACACCAGUGGCGAAGGCGGCUCACUGGCUCGAUACUGACGCUGAGGUGCGAAAGCGUGGGGAGCAAACAGGAUUAGAUACCCCUGUAGUCC